rnacentral:lncRNA from 1 species
GGCCCACUGCUGGAUAAAAGGUGCAGCACCCACUGGCCACUUCCACGGUUUACAUCUUGCUUCAAGGCCUUGUGCCCGAUCAGCUGAGCCCCUGUGCCAACCCUCAGGUUAGAAGCUGCUAAGACAAAUACGAGAUCUUCUGAGCGUGCCAGCCCAUCCAUCUGCACCAGUAACUCUGUCUUCAUCCGCAGGCUUCCUUCAUGUUCUCCCCUACAGAGAGACAAGACGUGAUUCUCCUAAGUGUCAGAGCCUUCGCCCUCAUGACAAGAGCAGCAUUCACAGCAAUGUCCCUGUGACUGUAGAACAGUUUCUGUUCUGAUGGCCAAUGGAGCCGUUCAUACUAGAGUUAGAGAAAAUGAGCAAUUUGCUGUUAUUUUCACAUACAGUAUGAUAGAAAGCAAGUAAAUGAAUAUAAUGAUGGUAUUUGAAAGAAAACCAAAGGCAGGCAGUGAGCUGGAGAAAAUAACUAAAGGGUCCACAGUCCCACUGGUAGAUUAAAUGCAGCCCAACUGUGUCUACCUGCAGCAUUAUUUACCUCUUUAAAAAUGACAUAAUUGAGGAUAAUCCCUUUCACUUACAUAGCACACAGGAAAGUACUUUCACACCCUCAGCCUCCUGAGUAGCUGGGACCUCAGGCACAAGCCCCCUGCCUGGCUAGGUAUAUGUUUUUUUAGGAUCUAUGCCCCUUAAUACUCAACUACCUUUGCCUAAGAGAGAAGACCGUCUCUCUCUAUAUAUAUAUGUGUAUAUAUAUAUAUAUAUAAUUUAUUUAUUAUAUAUUAUAAGCAUAAUAUAUAAUUAGCAUUUGCCCAUAUAUUUGCUAUAUGUUUAAUUAUCAUUUGCCCAUAACUAUAAUUCCUUUAACAUAAUAUUAUCGAAGUCUUCAGAGCACCCAUCCCUAUUUCCUGACCCUUUGAAGACUCUUAAUUUUGGAGUCUUUGAUCCCAGACAGGGAAAUGGAAAUUCGGGGCAGAACCUGGAGCACACACAAGGAUAGCAGAUGAAGAGUCUUCACAUUAGCUCGAUGAAGGUUGUGGGAAACUGGGGACAGAGCUCGACAAAGCACACGUAACAACAAGUGCAUAGGGAGACCUGGUCUUUGUAGAGUGACUAUGAGGGUGGGCUGGUGCAUUCCCAUCUAGGUGCCUGUGCAGUUGCCUGCUUCUAUCAGGCCUGGUAUAGAAAGCAGAGUGCUCCAGCCUAGGGCUGACAAGCACCAGCUCCAGUUAAGCUGAGGAAAAUGUCCUGUUUCAAUCAAUUACAUGAAUCCCAUAUAUUACUUGGGUACAUCUUUAUGGUUGCUUUUCCCUGCUGGGAAAAUGGUUUCCAAUGAGUAAAAUUUCAUAAAUUAUAUUAUAGUUAUACUUCCAACAAGCUAAUUAAUUGUGUUUUAUUACUAUUACUUCUGCCUUGAUGAUAGUCCAUUAAAGGUCAUUAAUAAAUGCA